rnacentral:rRNA from 1 species
CAGCAGCCGCGGUAAUACGGGGGUGGCGAGCGUUGUCCGGAAUUACUAGGCGUAAAGGGCAGGUAGGCGGUUGUAUAAGUUAAUUGUUAAAGGCCCAUGCUCACCAUGGGUAGGGCAGUUGAUACUGUAUGACUGGAAGCGAGUGGGGGAAGACGGAAUUCCCGGUGUAGCGGUGGAAUGCGCAGAUAUCGGGAGGAACACCAAAGGCGCAGGCAGUCUUCUACGCUUGUCUUGACGCUAAACUGCGAAGGUGCGGGUAUCAAACAGGAUUAGAUACCCUGGUAGUCCGCACAGUAAACGAUAAUCACUANGUGUCGGUGGGAUAGACCUGUCGGUGCCGCAGCUAACGCGAUAAGUGAUUCGCCUGGGGAGUACGAUCGCAAGGUUGAAACUCAAAGGAAUUGACGGGGGCCCGCACAAGCGGUGGAGCAUGUGGUUUAAUUCGAUGCAACGCGAAGAACCUUACCUGGGCUUGACAUCUAUCGGAUCUUUCACAGAUGGAGGAGUGCCCUUCGG